rnacentral:rRNA from 1 species
GACGAACGCUGACGGUGUGCUUUAGACAUGCAAGUCGAGCGAGAAAGCCCUUCGGGGUUAGUAAAGCGGCGAACGGGUGAGUAACACGUGGGCAAUCUGCCCCUCGCAGGGGGACAACCGGGGGAAACUCCGGCUAAUACCCCGUAAGUUUCCGGAGUCGCAUGGCUUUGGAAAGAAAGGUAGCUUCGGCCAUCCGGCGAGGGAUGAGCCCGCGGUACAUUAGCUAGUUGGUGGGGUAACGGCCUACCAAGGCGGCAAUGAUAGCUGGUCUGAGAGGAUGAUCAGCCACACUGGGGACUGAGACACGGCCCAGACUCCUACGGGAGGCAGCAGUCGGGAAUCUUGCACAAUGGGCGAAAGCCUGAUGCAGCAACACCGUGUGAGCGAUGAAGGCCCUAGGGUCGUAAAGCUCUGUUGUUGGGGACGAAGGGCGAAGGGUUAAUACGCCCCCAGCUUGACGGUACCCUUCGAGGAAGCUCCGGCUAACUACGUGCCAGCCGCCGCCGU